rnacentral:rRNA from 1 species
AGAGUUUGAUCAUGGCUCAGGAUGAACGCUGGCGGCGUGCUUAACACAUGCAAGUCGAACGAAGCGAGAGGAGCUUGCUCCUUAAGCUUAGUGGCGGACGGGUGAGUAACGUGUGGGCAACCUGCCUUUUACAGGGGAAUAAUCACUGGAAACGGUGACUAAUACCGCAUACGAUCUUCGGAAGGCAUCUUCUGGAGAGGAAAGGAGCAAUCCGGUAAAAGAUGGGGCCCGCAUCUGAUUAGCUAGUUGGUGAGAUAAUAGCCCACCAAGGCAACGAUCAGUAGCCGACCUGAGAGGGUGAUCGGCCACAUUGGGACUGAGACCACGGCCCAAACUCCUACGGGAGCA